CCCUUAGAUGUUCUGGGCCGCACGCGCGCUACACUGACGAAUGCAACGAGCUUAUAACCUUGGCCGAAAGGUCUGGGUAAUCUCCAAAUUUCGUCGUGAUGGGGAUAGAUUAUUGCAAUUAUUAAUCUUCAACGAGGAAUGCCUAGUAAGCGCAAGUCAUCAGCUUGCGUUGAUUACGUCCCUGCCCUUUGUACACACCGCCCGUCGCUCCUACCGAUUGAAUGGUCCGGUGAAGCGCUCGGACCGCGGCCUCCUGACGGUUCGCUGUCGAUUGGCUGUGGGAAGUUCGUUAAACCUUAUCAUUUAGAGGAAGGAGAAGUCGUAACA
rnacentral:rRNA from 1 species